rnacentral:rRNA from 1 species
UACGUAGGCAGCAAGCGUUGUUCGGAGUUACUGGGCGUAAAGGGUGCGUAGGCGGCUUUUAAGUUUGGUGUGAAAUCUCCCGGCUCAACUGGGAGGGUGCGCCGAAUACUGAGAGGCUAGAGUGUGGGAGAGGAAAGUGGAAUUCCUGGUGUAGCGGUGAAAUGCGUAGAUAUCAGGAGGAACACCGGUGGUGUAAACGGCUUCUGGACCAUAACUGACGCUGAGGCACGAAAGCGUGGGUAGCAAACAGG